CUCCCAGAGGAAAUCACUUUCCCGUCCUCCACAAUCACACACCUAACAUGCGCGAGGGAAUUAAUUAACAAGGAUGCAACCAUGCGAUUAGCAAAAUAUGAAUCAGUGACCGACUAUCGCGAAUGAGCGAGAACCUACCCAACAGGGACCUCGAGGUUAUCCAGCGCAAACUUAGCCUACAAAAAACAACCAGCCGAAGGUAGAAUUAUACACGCUACAGCUGCAAAGCGAGCACGAUUAACAGCCGUACCUGCUCGAGUGCUAGCUCCAUAAAAGCCGGUGCCAUCCUGCGGGCCUGGGAGCGAGGAAUCAAAUUUCUACUGUAAGCGAACGCGGGGAAGUGGCCGCACGGUCUGGCUGGCCGCUGGCGCCAGGGUGCUGGAGCAGCAGAGUUGGACGAUGCUCGGCAGCUUGGGGAAACGCACGGCCGUGAUGCGUCGACCGUCGAGGUAGGGGCGUCAGGCGGCGGCGGCGGCUGUCGCUCUCGCUCAGGCGUUGCAGGAGAGCGUCUCCGCGGCGGCGCUAGACAGGGGAGCGGGAGGCCUGGGAGUCGGCCUAUACCCUUUGGGCCUGCUUUUGGCUUGAGUGGGUUGGCUCGGGAAUAAUUCUCUCUUUUUUCAUAAAGCAUGCAAGUAAAACAAUGCAGACUUCCUCUAUAUCCAGCAGGCUGAGAAAAAGGAUGAGGGAAUUCACUAGUUGGCCUGAAAAAAUAGUAUGUAUUUCAGGAACAGGACUGACCAUUCGGGUGAACGGCGGCUAGCGAGCGGAAAGGGUGAACGGCGGUCUCGUGGAAGCGCGAAUCGGGUGAACGGCGGCUAGGGAGCGGAAAGGGUGAACGGCGGUCUCGUGGAAGCGCGAAUCGGGUGAACGGCGGCCAGGCUGCCGGCGACACCAGGGUGAGAAGCGGGCGACUGCGCCUAUGCAAGGCCAAAGUGUUAAUCUAGUCUCUGUUAAUAGGCUGGGUCUAAGUAUGGGGUAUGGCUAGGCGUGGUAAUGAAUUGUGAUUUAAAUGCUUCCUCACAAAAUGAUAGAACCUUAAAUAAAUUUUAGUUCAAAAAUGAAUAGAAAUAUGGUCUAAUUCUAAUCUAAUCCGAUUAUUAAAUCUUGUAGUGUAAAAUUUAGAGCUUAUUGACACCCGUAGGAUGGCAUGGGCCAUAUCUGUCCAUACGGGCCUUCCGCCCCCGUAUGCAUCCUGUGGUAAUCGGAAAGAUGCUGCUGAGAUGAGUGUACUGAUGCAAGGGACUGCUACCCUUUGUAAAGAUAGUGGGUGUAGCUGGUUAAGGGGACAAUAUCAUGCUUUUUUUUAGAAAGGGAAGCAUUUUUUGUCA